rnacentral:rRNA from 1 species
UUAGAUACCCUGGUAGUCCAUGCCGUAAACGAUGAGUGCUAGGUGUUGGAGGGUUUCCGCCCUUCAGUGCCGGAGCUAACGCAUUAAGCACUCCGCCUGGGGAGUACGACCGCAAGGUUGAAACUCAAAGGAAUUGACGGGGGCCCGCACAAGCGGUGGAGCAUGUGGUUUAAUUCGAAGCUACGCGAAGAACCUUACCAGGUCUUGACAUCUUGCGCUAACCUUAGAGAUAAGGCGUUCCCUUCGGGGACGCAAUGACAGGUGGUGCAUGGUCGUCGUCAGCUCGUGUCGUGAGAUGUUGGGUUAAGUCCCGCAACGAGCGCAACCCUUGUUACUAGUUGCCAGCAUUAAGUUGGGCACUCUAGUGAGACUGCCGGUGACAAACCGGAGGAAGGUGGGGACGACGUCAGAUCAUCAUGCCCCUUAUGACCUGGGCUACACACGUGCUACAAUGGACGGUACAACGAGUCGCAAGCUCGCGAGAGUAAGCUAAUCUCUUAAAGCCGUUCUCAGUUCGGACUGUAGGCUGCAACUCGCCUACACGAAGUCGGAAUUGCUAGUAAUCGCGGAUCAGCAUGCCGCGGUGAAUACGUUCCCGGGCCUUGCACACACCGCCCGUCAA